UGGCGGACGGGUGAGUAAUGUCUGGGAAACUGCCUGAUGGAGGGGGAUAACUACUGGAAACGGUAGCUAAUACCGCGUAACGUCGCAAGACCAAAGAGGGGGACCUUCGGGCCUCUUGCCAUCGGAUGUGCCCAGAUGGGAUUAGCUAGUAGGUGGGGUAAAGGCUCACCUAGGCGACGAUCCCUAGCUGGUCUGAGAGGAUGACCAGCCACACUGGAACUGAGACACGGUCCAG
rnacentral:rRNA from 1 species